GACGAACGCUGGCGGCGUGCUUAACACAUGCAAGUCGAACGAUGAAGCUGGAGCUUGCUCCGGUGGAUUAGUGGCGAACGGGUGAGUAACACGUGAGCAAUCUGCCCUUGACUCUGGGAUAACUGCGGGAAACUGUAGCUAAUACCGGAUACGAGGCUCGAAGGCAUCUUCGGGUCUGGAAAGAAUUUCGGUCAAGGAUGAGCUCGCGGCCUAUCAGCUAGUUGGUGAGGUAAUGGCUCACCAAGGCGACGACGGGUAGCCGGCCUGAGAGGGUGACCGGCCACACUGGGACUGAGACACGGCCCAGACUCCUACGGGAGGCAGCAGUGGGGAAUAUUGCACAAUGGGCGAAAGCCUGAUGCAGCAACGCCGCGUGAGGGAUGAAGGCCUUCGGGUUGUAAACCUCUUUUAGCAGGGAAGAAGCGAAAGUGACGGUACCUGCAG
rnacentral:rRNA from 1 species